AAUUUAGGGGAGACAACUCCAGGAACCGUAUGGUGUUCUGAGUGUGAAGUGCUCCUCUGCAAGAGAUGUGUCAAGAUGCAUCGUGCAAGUCCAGCAUCACAUGACCAUGAAAUGUGUGACCUUUCAGGAGAGGUCAAGGUCAAGAGAAGACGCAAGGUUGUAUGUCGGGAACACAAGGGUGAGGUUAUAAAGUUCGUCUGUAAAGACUGUCACAAAGCCGCAUGUCAGACAUGCUGCGUGCUUCACCACAGGAAAUGUGAGUCUGUCGUUACCAUGGAGUCAGUGAUGCCAACCAUGAAGUACCAUUUGAGAAAGAGCACGAAUGUACUGAUAAAGAAAAUAAGCAAAAAACAAACGUUCAUUCGAAAAACGCACAAGAAAAUUAGAGGAAUAGAGAAAACUAAAGUAGCUCUAGAAGGUAACAUCAAAUCUGCUGUUGAGAGAGUCAUCGCCAACAUCAAACAGAAAGAAAUACAGCUGAUGAAUGAAGUCAAUGAUAUUACAGAUAAACAAACACAGCAACUUAAGGCAGAUAUUAAACUUGAAGAGAUCGAGAUGCAGAUGUACAGACAUCAUUGUGAGUUCAUCGACCAGGCCCUGGUAUCGGACUGUGAGAUGGACCUGUAUGCCGCGUAUCAGGCCUGGGAGUCUGGAGCUGUAGAGAUGGAGGAUGUCAGGGAUACAGAGGCAGCAGACACCCGGAGAAUAGAUGACAUCAGGUUUACACCUGACACUGACAAUGUCCUAAAGGCCCUAGAUAACCUGCAGUUUGGGGAGAUUGACGUCACAUACCAGGAUCAGGAGCAAUAUCUGCCAUCUCCAGUGUUGGUUGACAGGAUAGAUGGAAGGAUGGAGGGUGAUGAGAAGGACCCUUUUCUAUUUGAUGUGACAGUUCUGGUUGUAGAUGGUGUACAGACAUGUGUUGUUACGGACUAUAAUAACAAGUGUGUGAAAUCUUUCUUCACAAGAAAUAAUCAUUCAUGCCAGAGUAAACUUCCCCUGGAUAACACUCCAUUUGGAAUAACACUGUUGAAUGAGAAGCAGGUGAUAGUUGCUGUCCCAUACUCCCAUCAGAUUGUAACAUUAGAAGUGACCCCUGACCUGGUGCUGCUCUCUACCAUCACAACACAUACCGGAUACUGCAGUUUGGCUGUUCUGAAUCCUUCAUCUCUAGCAGCAUGUUCUUGGGAAUGUGUUGAUAUCCUGGACAUGGCUGGACACGUGUUCAGGUCAGUCACUACACACAAUGGCGACUCACUGUUUGCCCGCCCCAUCUACAUGUGUGUCAACAACAAGGGCAACAUACUCGUGUCUGACUGUGGGAAGACGUCUGUGACAUGUCUGACGUCCGAGUGGGGUGUUGUGUGGAGAUACGCCCCUACCGGAGACAGAGCACUCAGCAUCCCUCGUGGUAUCACAACUACCACGACAGGAGACAUCCUGCAUCUAGACACUGCCAGGGUGAUACAGCUGACAGAGUCGGGGGAGUUUGUCAGAGAAUAUCGAGACAUCUGUGGUAUUCCACAGGGACUGUAUGUAGACAGUCAUGACUCAAUGUACGUGUGUAGCCUAACUCAAAUCCUGGAAUUCCUCUUCAUGUAGUCAUACAUCCCAGCAUCAGUAAAAUAUGAGUUACACUAUAACAUAUCAGUAGCGAUAUAGAUAUUUUGAUCAGAUUGGAUACUGUUUGGAUUUGAUAACUGAUCAUAGAAAUAAGUUCCAUAACACAAUAGAACGUUCUCGUCAGUGACUCCCUCCAGGUACUCGUGGACAGAGCCUCUACCAGCGAAUGAAGUCACUGACUAGAUGCAUCAUUCUAAAUGUGGUACUUGUUGUUGCCCUACCUGUUCAGCAUUGAUAUGAUAAGGCAAGGACAGCUUGGUGUCAGUAGGCUGUGUCUUAGUAGGGUAUCCUGUUGUUCAGCAUUGAUAUGAUAAGGCAAGGGUAGCUUGGUGUCAGUAGGCUGUGUCUUAGUAGGGUAUCCAUGGUAAACUGCGAUGUGGUAUCUCAUCAGAUUCACAGAACAGAUGCAACAGACACCCGGGAGAAUAUAUGGAAUCAGGUUUACACCAGACACUGACAAUGUUCUGAAGGUCCUGGAUAACCUACAGUUAGGGAAGAUUGACGUCACAUACCAGGAUCGAGAGCAAUAUCUGCCAAUUCCAGUGCUGGUUGA
rnacentral:misc_RNA from 1 species